UACGUAGGGGGCUAGCGUUGUCCGGAAUCACUGGGCUUAAAGCGUGUGUAGGCGGAUCGUUAAGUGCCUUGUGAAAUCCCACGGCUCAACCGUGGAACUGCUUGGCAUACUGGCGGUCUUGAGCAACCUAGGGGCGAGCGGAACAAAUGGUGGAGCGGUGAAAUGCGUAGAUAUCAUUUGGAACGCCAAUGGUGAAAACAGCUCGCUGGGGGUUUGCUGACGCUGAGACACGAAAGCCAGGGGAGCAAACGGGG
rnacentral:rRNA from 1 species